GCCAGGCUACCCUGCGGUCACAUGCUCCUCCUGUCCUUCUGGCGGAGCGUGCUUCCCGCUGCGGGGACGUUCGAGCAAUGGCAGCCCUGCUGAGAUCCGCGCGUUGGUUGCUGCGUGCCGGGGCGGCCCCGCGCCUCCCGCUCUCCCUGCGCCUCCUCCCUGGCGGCCCGGGCCGGCUGCAUGCCGCCUCCUAUCUGCCCGCCGCUCGCGCCGGGCCCGUGGCCGGAGGACUACUGAGCCCAGCCAGGCUGUAUGCCAUUGCUGCCAAAGAAAAAGAUAUUCAAGAGGAGUCCACUUUUUCUUCUAGGAAGAUUUCCAAUCAAUUUGAUUGGGCUCUAAUGAGACUAGAUCUUUCUGUUCGAAGAACUGGCCGCAUUCCAAAGAAGCUUCUACAAAAAGUUUUUAAUGAUACCUGCCGCUCAGGUGGCCUAGGUGGUAGUCAUGCCUUGCUUCUACUACGUAGUUGUGGUUCUCUCUUGCCUGAACUAAAGGUUGAAGAGAGAACAGAAUUUGCUCAUAGGAUAUGGGACACACUUCAGAAAUUAGGUGCUGUGUAUGAUGUGAGUCACUAUAAUGCUUUACUUAAAGUCUAUCUUCAAAAUGAAUAUAAAUUCUCACCAACUGAUUUCCUGGCAAAAAUGGAGGAAGCAAACAUUCAACCAAAUCGAGUGACAUACCAGAGAUUGAUUGCUUCUUAUUGUAAUGUAGGAGAUAUUGAAGGUGCCAGCAAGAUUCUUGGAUUUAUGAAAACUAAGGAUCUCCCAGUUACAGAGGCAGUAUUCAGUGCCCUUGUGACAGGGCAUGCCAGAGCUGGUGAUAUGGAGAAUGCAGAAAACAUUCUCACAGUGAUGAGAGAUGCCGGAAUUGAGCCUGGUCCAGACACAUACCUCGCAUUAUUGAAUGCAUAUGCUGAGAAGGGCGACAUUGACCAUGUUAAGCAGACGCUGGAGAAGGUGGAGAAGUCCGAGCUUCACCUUAUGGACCGUGAUUUACUGCAAAUUAUUUUUAGCUUCAGUAAAGCUGGGUAUCCUCAGUACGUCUCAGAAAUUUUGGAAAAAGUUACAUGUGAAAGAAGAUAUAUUCCAGAUGCAAUGAACCUUAUUUUACUUUUAGUCACUGAAAAAUUGGAAGAUGUAGCGUUGCAAAUUUUACUAGCAUGCCCUGUAUCAAAGGAAGAUGGCCCAAGUGUCUUUGGCAGUUUCUUUUUACAACACUGUGUGACUAUGAAUACGCCUGUGGAGAAGCUAACAGACUACUGUAAGAAGUUAAAGGAAGUCCAGAUGCACUCCUUUCCUCUGCAGUUCACCCUCCAUUGUGCUUUACUCGCCAAUAAAACUGAUUUGGCAAAAGCCUUAAUGAAGGCUGUGAAGGAGGAAGGUUUUCCUAUCAGACCUCACUAUUUCUGGCCAUUGCUAGUUGGACGUCGGAAGGAAAAAAAUGUUCAAGGUAUAAUUGAAAUCCUCAAAGGAAUGCAAGAAUUGGGAGUACAUCCUGAUCAGGAAACAUAUACAGAUUAUGUGAUUCCAUGCUUUGAUAGUGUAAACUCAGCACGUGCCAUUUUGCAGGAAAAUGGAUGUCUGUCUGAUAGUGAUAUGUUUUCUCAAGCUGGAUUGAGAAGUGAAGCAGCAAAUGGGAACUUAGACUUUGUAUUAUCAUUUUUGAAAUCAAAUACAUUGCCUAUCUCGCUGCAGUCUAUAAGAAGUAGCCUACUGCUAGGCUUCAGGAGGUCUAUGAAUAUAAAUCUUUGGAGCGAGAUAACAGAAUUGUUGUACAAGGAUGGACGUUAUUGCCAGGAGCCUCGAGGACCAACGGAAGCUGUUGGCUAUUUUCUUUAUAACUUGAUUGACAGCAUGAGUGACUCAGAGGUACAGGCCAAGGAGGAGCAUUUGAGACAAUACUUCCAUCAGCUGGAGAAGAUGAAUGUAAAAAUUCCUGAAAAUAUCUACAGAGGCAUUCGUAAUCUCCUGGAAAGCUACCAUGUUCCUGAAUUGAUUAAGGAUGCUCACUUGUUGGUUGAGAGUAAGAAUUUAGACUUUCAAAAAACUGUGCAACUUACGUCAUCUGAAUUGGAGUCCACACUUGAAACACUAAAAGCUGAAAAUCAACCUAUAAGAGAUGUCCUAAAGCAACUUAUAUUAGUGCUUUGUUCAGAAGAGAAUAUGCAAAAAGCCCUUGAAUUGAAAGCAAAAUAUGAAUCCGACAUGGUUACUGGUGGCUAUGCAGCUUUAAUAAAUUUAUGCUGUCGACAUGAUAAAGUAGAAGAUGCCUUGAACUUGAAAGAAGAACUUGACCGCUUAGAUUCAUCUGCUGUCCUUGACACCGGCAAGUAUGUAGGCCUUGUAAGAGUAUUGGCAAAGCAUGGCAAGCUCCAAGAUGCUAUUAACAUUCUGAAGGAGAUGAAAGAGAAGGAUGUUCUUAUCAAAGAUACAACAGCCUUGUCCUUUUUCCACAUGCUAAAUGGCGCAGCUUUAAGAGGUGAAAUUGAAACAGUAAAACAGUUGCAUGAAGCCAUCGUGACUCUAGGGUUAGCAGAACCAUCCACCAACAUAAGUUUCCCAUUGGUCACUGUACACUUGGAAAAGGGCGACCUAUCUACUGCUCUUGAGGUCGCCAUUGACUGCUAUGAAAAGUAUAAAGUAUUACCAAGGAUUCAUGAUGUCUUGUGUAAACUGGUAGAGAAUGGCGAGACUGAUCUAAUUCAGAAAGCAAUGGACUUUGUGAGCCAAGAACAAGGUGAAAUGGUGAUGCUCUAUGAUCUCUUCUUUGCCUUCCUACAAACAGGAAAUUACAAAGAGGCCAAGAAGAUCAUUGAGACUCCAGGGAUUAGAGCUCGAUCUGCAAGGCUUCAGUGGUUUUGUGACAGAUGUGUUGCAAAUAAUCAGGUUGAAACUCUGGAAAAAUUAGUGGAGCUGACACAGAAGCUAUUUGAAUGUGAUAGAGACCAGAUGUACUACAAUCUGCUAAAACUGUAUAAAAUAAACGGUGACUGGCAAAGAGCUGAUGCUGUCUGGAAUAAAAUCCAAGAAGAAAAUGUUAUUCCUCGUGAAAAGACAUUAAGAUUAUUAGCAGAAAUCCUUAGAGAGGGUAACCAGGAAGUUCCGUUUGACGUACCUGAGUUGUGGUAUGAAGAUGAAAAACAUUCCCUGAAUUCUUCGUCAGCCUCAACCACAGAACCUGAUUUCCAGAAAGAUAUAUUGAUUGCCUGCCGAUUGAACCAAAAAAAAGGGGCAUAUGAUAUUUUCCUGAAUGCAAAAGAGCAAAACAUUGUGUUUAAUGCUGAAACCUACAGCAAUCUCGUUAAAUUACUGAUGUCAGAAGAUUAUUUUACACAAGCAAUGGAAGUGAAAGCAUUCGCGGAGACCCACAUCAAGGGCUUCACACUGAACGAUGCUGCCAACAGCCGCCUCAUCAUAACGCAAGUUAGGCGGGAUUAUUUGAAAGAGGCUGUGACAACACUGAAAACAGUAUUGGAUCAGCAGCAGACCCCUUCUAGGUUAGCAGUGACCCGUGUCGUCCAGGCAUUGGCCAUGAAGGGUGAUGUUGAAAACAUAGAAGUAGUUCAGAAGAUGUUAAAUGGACUCGAAGACUCCAUUGGACUUUCAAAAAUGGUUUUCAUCAAUAACAUUGCUUUGGCACAAAUAAAGAACAAUAACAUAGAUGCCGCAAUAGAAAACAUUGAAAAUAUGCUUACUUCAGAGAAUAAAGUCAUUGAACCCCAAUACUUCGGCUUGGCAUACUUAUUCAGAAAAGUAAUAGAGGAGCAGUUGGAACCAGCAGUUGAAAAGAUAAGCAUCAUGGCAGAGAGAUUGGCCAAUCAGUUUGCAAUUUAUAAACCUGUCACUGAUUUUUUCCUUCAACUUGUGGAUGCAGGCAAGGUGGAUGAUGCCAGAGCUCUCCUACAGAGAUGUGGUGCAAUUGCUGAACAAACCCCGAUUUUGUUGUUGUUCCUCCUUAGGAAUUCUAGGAAACAAGGAAAGGACCUUAUUUGAGAAUACUAUAGAGAUUCAAGACUUUGCUUGUCUCUACUUAGAGUGAGUUUUGUCGUCUGUUAGCUGUACUGGAAAUGUAAAACAAGUUCAUGCAGGAAUUUUCCACUUACACAGGUCACCUUGGGACAUUUAACAAUGCAGAAGCACUGCCAAGGGAAAUGUACACUCCAGAGUGUCUCCUAGCACGUGGCUACUUUUGAGCAUUUAUCAGGUAUAAACCAUCAGGUAAAUGAGCCACUUGGCUUUCAAAUUGAUAUGGAGCCACAAAUUAAUUCUAAUUUGUGCAGUUACUUUAUUUACACUGUAAAAGGGGUGGGUGGGUAUGUAAUAGAACCAAGUCCUUUUGAAAAAAAUUUUUUUAAAAAAAUUUCUGUGGGUACAUAGUAGAUAUGUCACAUUCUACUUUGAUGUUUAACCGUAAGUGUAAAAUUAAAUUUCUCUUAGAUUGGAUUUUACCUCUUGUAUACCAGAAACUACAUUCUUAGUUCAUUUGGGUUCUUUAUGAAGUUUCAAACCACAUGCCAACUGUGAUGCUUGUUUUAUUUGAAACAUUUAGGCUGUGUCCAGUUUGGGAGGUCUACGUUUUCCUGAAUUUCUACACCCUUCCCCUAGAUAUACCUACACUUUUAAAAAAUUUGCCUCAUUGCGUCUGUGACUCACGUAUUUAUUUACUACAAACAACUUUUAGAAAAUAUUUAAUUGCCCCUUCUUUCCUUUCAGAGAGGCUGCGUUUUUAUAUGUGUGAUUAAAAAGUAUAAGGAAUCUGAAAAGCACUUGUCAGUCCACCUGUGGGACUGUGCCAAGUCCCUGUUGCCUUGUCCAGGAGAUGGGACGGGAAAUGCAUGGCAAUAUGUCUGCUUAGAACAUUCCACCCAGGACAGUUUAAAAUAGAAGAAGCCCUGGGAGGAUGCAGGUCCAGGUGUGGAUUGACUGAAUAAACAUGCUAUAGAAAGGAGUUAGGAUUUUUAAGAUGCCUAUUAACAGUGUUCCAUUGUUUGACAGUACAAUAGUUAAGCCAGAUUUUGCUCCUCUUGGUGAGAUGGGAAGAGGGCAUAGAUGUUUAUAUAUCCAUCAUGGAUUUAUCCAGCAACGUUGGAGUAGGGCGGGAAAUACUCAGCAGAUAUUCAUUACGGCAUAGCAGUUCUGUAUUCACUCGCUACAGGAAAUAAAGCCAUAGCCGAGUCUGCAUAUUCCUGGAAGAAAUAAGUAAAAAUUUCAGUGAGAUUCUGGAAAUGCUCUUUUUUGUAUGUCAAGUGGGUAACACUUCAGAAUGUUUUAACUGAAUUCUUUACAAUUUCAUCAACCAGUUGUGGCACCUAAAGAUAGGGUUGUUAUCUCUCUACCCUUGGGAUCUCAUAACUUCUUGGUAUGGUCACCACUUGACAAAAGAAGCAAUGUGUUUAUCAUAUUCUAGAAAAAUAUUCAUAGAAAUGUAAGUGGAAUUGCAUUAACCUGUGAAAAAUGCUGGUUUGUUUUAGCUGUAGAUUAUUGAGUCAAUAUCAAAUGCUAAUAUACAGGGGACAAUAGUGCAUUAAAUUGAAUAGGUAGUUCUGUUACAAUUAUUGUGAAAAUUUUUAAUAUAGUGUUGAUUUGUCAGUGUUCUAAUUCACUGUUAAUUUGCAGUUUUCAUAAUAUUACCUUUAUGUAAUUUCCUAGGCAUCAACUGUGAAAUCUGUGUUAGAAUUGAUUCCUGAAUUAAAUGAAAAGGAAGAAGCAUACAAUUCCCUCAUGAAAAGCUAUG